rnacentral:rRNA from 1 species
AUUGAACGCUGGCGGCAGGCCUAACACAUGCAAGUCGAACGAGUGGCGGACGGGUGAGUAAUGUCUGGGAAACUGCCCGAUAGAGGGGGAUAACUACUGGAAACGGUAGCUAAUACCGCAUACCAUCGGAUGUGCCCAGAUGGGAUUAGCUAGUAGGUGGGGUAACGGCUCACCUAGGCGACGAUCUCUAGCUGGUCUGAGAGGAUGACCAGCCACACUGGAACUGGGAUCCGGUCCAGACUCCUACGGGGGGAGGCAGUGGGGAAUAUUGCACAAUGGGCGCAAGCCUGAUGCCGCCAUGCCGCGUGUAUGAGAAAGGCCUUCGGGUUGUAAAGUCCUUUCAGCGGGGGGGCGUUCCUCGCAGAGGAGGCCCCGGCUAACUCCGUGCCAGCAGCCGCGGUAAUUC